UACGGGGGGGGCAAGCGUUGUUCGGAAUUACUGGGCGUAAAGGGCUCGUAGGCGGCCAACUAAGUCAGACGUGAAAUCCCCAGGCUCAACCUGGGAACUGCGUCUGUUACUGGAUGGCUUGAAUCCGGGAGAGGGAUGCAGAAUUCCAGGUGUAGCGGUGAAAUGCGUAGAUAUCUGGAGGAAUACCGGUGGCGAAGGCGGCAUCCUGGACCGGCAUUGACGCUGAGGAGCGAAAGCCAGGGGAGCAAACGGG
rnacentral:rRNA from 1 species